AAUUACUCUACCAUUAGAACCAGUUGGUUCUUUUAGUAUGUAGAAUGUUUCAGACUUUAGUGAGGUAUGAAACGAUUCUGUCGGUGCGUUAUCUGAAG
rfam:Enterococcus devriesei strain DSM 22802 Scaffold15, whole genome shotgun sequence.